UUAAUACUUCCUCCGUCCGAAAAUACUUGUCCUUGGAAAUGAAUAAAAUGAAUGUAUCUAUAACUAAAAUAAGUCUAGAUACAACCAUUUCUAAGACAAGUAUUUUCGGACGGAGGGAGUAUGAG
rfam:Triticum aestivum genome assembly, contig: Triticum_aestivum_CS42_TGACv1_scaffold_373990_5AL